CGUGUAGGCGGCCAAACAGGUCCGUUGUGAAAACUGGAGGCUCAACUUCCAGACGUCGACGGAAACCGUAUGGCUAGAGUCCGGAAGAGGAGAGUGGAAUUCCUGGUGUAGCGGUGAAAUGCGCAGAUAUCAGGAAGAACACCAAUGGCGAAGGCAGCUCUCUGGGACGGUACUGACGCUGAGACACGAAAGCGUGGGGAGCGAACA
rnacentral:rRNA from 1 species